GCGCGGGUGGCGAAAUUGGUAGACGCACUACCUUGAGGUGGUAGCACCCGAAAGGGUAUGGAAGUUCGAGUCUUCUCCCGCGCA
rnacentral:tRNA from 1 species